GACGAACGCUGGCGGCGUGCUUAACACAUGCAAGUCGAACGAAGAGCGAUGGAAGCUUGCUUCUAUCAAUCUUAGUGGCGAACGGGUGAGUAACGCGUAAUCAACCUGCCCUUCAGAGGGGGACAACAGUUGGAAACGACUGCUAAUACCGCAUACGAUCUAAUCUCGGCAUCGAGGAUAGAUGAAAGGUGGCCUCUACAUGUAAGCUAUCACUGAAGGAGGGGAUUGCGUCUGAUUAGCUAGUUGGAGGGGUAACGGCCCACCAAGGCGAUGAUCAGUAGCCGGUCUGAGAGGAUGAACGGCCACAUUGGGACUGAGACACGGCCCAGACUCCUACGGGAGGCAGCAGUGGGGAAUCCUCCGCAAUGGACGAAAGUCUGACGGAGCAACGCCGCGUGAGUGAUGACGGCCUUCGGGUUGUAAAGCUCUGUUAAUCGGGACGAAAGGCCUUCUUGCGAAU
rnacentral:rRNA from 1 species